UUUAUAAAAAGCAAUUUUGGAAAAAUUUACAAUCAUAAAUUAAAUAAAUAUAUCGGCUGCGGUUCUAUUACGGAUGGUAUUUAUAAAAUUGAAGUACAUAUAUUAAAUUUUGAUGAAAAGAAAUAUGAAGAGAAAAAGAUAAAAAAGGAAAUAAAGUACAACUAAUUGGCACGGUGCAAAAUACAGUCGACCCACCAUAUGUCAUAAUAAAUUCUAAUGAGGAAGUUAAAAAAUUGGAAGGAUGUAUGUCUUUGCCACUUUUAUUAAAAGGUAUACAUACAUCUAAAAAAAGAAAAAUAGAGGAGCAUAUAUAUGAGCAAAAGCAGAAUAAGAAGAUGGUUUCCUCUACAUAAAAAUUAAAAUGGAAUCUUCAAAAUAAUUGAAAAUAAAUUGAAAUGUUAAAAAUGUUUUGUAAUGUUUAAAUAAUAUAAUACAAUAUAUUACAUUGCUUUGAAUUAAAUAUUCU